AGAAGGGAAAUGAAAAAAACGCAGGAAAGGGAAAGGGGUUUCUUUAGUUUCAGAGAAAGGGGAAAGAACGAGAGAAAUGGAAGGAGAACGAGAGGAGGGUGCUGGAAGGUUCAAGAAUGUUCUUUAGCUGUAACUCAAACAACCAAAGUGGGUGACGAUUCUUGAUCACCCAUUGAGAAAUGAGAGUAAGAGGAGGUCGCCGGGUGCGAAGGAAAAAAAGAGGGAAAUGGUAGACCAAAGGCGGUUUCAAAAUGUUCUUCAGUAGUAACUCAACCAACCAAAGUGGGUGACGAUUCUUGAACACCCAGUUGAGUAGUGAGUGUAAGAGGAGGUCGCUGCUGAGAAGAAAAAAAAGAGAUGUUCUUUACUUGUAACUCAACAAACCAAAGUGGGUGACGAUUCUUGAUCACCCAGUGGAGAAGUGACUGUAAGAGGAGGUCGGUGGUGAGAUGAUAUAAAAGAGGGAGAUGGUAGACCAAAGGCGGUUGAAGUCCAGAUUUCGCUGGGUGAGAGAAGAGGGUUUCAGAGUACGACAAAUCGCUGGGGAAGAGAGAAAAAUCGCGCCUCUCUGGAAGUAAGGACACAUGGGGAAGGAUCGUCAAAUUGAUUGGAUUAAUCGGCAGAAGCUUAUAGAUGCGAUAGUAGCAGUCGAACAGAGAGACCAACAGAGAGACGAGCCACCUGAGUUGGAGCUGGAGCCAAAGCCGCAGUUGGAGCAGGAGCAGGAGCAGGAGCCACCACUUUCCUGAGCCGCUCAAGGCACCUGAGCCGCUACUACGGGUGCCGCUCGAGGCACCUGAGCUGCCAUUACCAGAGCCCUUGGUUGCUGCUCCGGUAAUUUGGUGGUGCUUAUAAUCGUUGUCUUUAUUAGGAAGUGGUCGGUACAAUCUUAUAAUAAUGUUCUUUUUUUUUUGCAGCCACCACCGGAGCCGCCACUUCUUGAGCGGCUUGAGGCACCUGAGCCACUGGCUGCUGCUCUGGAUUCCUGGGUGCUGUUUAUACUUGUUACCUCUAUCGGUUGGUGAGUACAAUCUUAUAAAAAGAAACUUUUUUUUUCCACUUUUGCUUGUUGAUCACUUUAACUUUGCUUUUAUGUAUGUUGAUGAGGUGGUUAAUCAGCUAUAUGAUCUGAACUACAAGCCUCAAACUAUCAAUUGGUACCAAUUGGAGAGUUUACCAAUUGGAGAGUGAAAAAAAAAAUUGCACAAAAAUACCAAUUGAUAGUUUGAGACUUGUAGUUCAGAUCAUAUAGCUGAUUAACCACCUCAUCAACCUACAUAAAAGCAAAGUUAAAGUGAUCAACAAGCAAAAGUGGAAAAAAAAAGUUUCUUUUUAUAAGAUUGUACUCACCAACCGAUACAGGUAACAAGUAUAAACAACACCCAGGAAUCCAGAGCAGCAACCAGUGGCUCAGGUGCCUCAAGCCGCUCAAGAAGUGGCGGCUCAGGUGGUGGUUGCAAAAAAAAAAGAAGAACAUUAUUAUAAGAUUGUACUGACCACUUCCUAAUAAAGACAACGAUUAUAAGCACCACCAAAUUACCGGACCAGCAACCAAGAGCUCUGGUAAUGGCAGCUCAGGUGCCUCGAGCGGCACCCGUAGUAGCGGCUCAGGAAGUGGUGGCUCUUGCUCCUGCUCCGGCUGCGGUUGUGGCUCUGGCUCCAGCUCAGGUGGCUCGUCUCUUUGUUUUUCUUCAAUCAGUAUACUUGUGCAUUCUUUUUUUCACUCUCUGGUAUACUAUUUUUUCACUCUGGUAUACUAUACUUGUGCAUUCUUUUGGGUGUAACUUUGGAUAAGAAAUCUACCUGAUAUGAGUUUUUCAGUCUGUCUAUGUGAUGAAAAAAAAAAAAAAAAAGGAAGAUUGGAAGGAGUUGUUGUUUCCUGUUUUGAUGGUUAUCGGUGGAUGAUCUGCAUGAAGUGGUUUAAAUAGGAUUUAGGAAAGAGAUGGAGUUGGAGUUUGAUUAGGAUUGAGGAAAAAUCUCUUUGGAUUCUCAAUUACCCUUUUAGGUUUUUUGUAUUUUCUAAACUUCCCUUCAAGAUUCCGUUUCAGGAAUUUGGCUGCUAUAUGAAAUUUGGUCCGGAGAAAAGAUAGAAUUGGAGUUUGAUUAGGAAAGAGGAAAGAGAUAGGGAGGAUUCUGAAU